ensembl:lncRNA LINC01206 long intergenic non-protein coding RNA 1206
UGGCAGUUGAGAUUCAGACCUUGACAGUUGUAACCGAUAGACUGGGCUGGGGCAACGCUGAUGAAAGGCAAAUUCCUGAGAGAAAAAUCACCCAGAUGCCUUCUCUAGCUUUCUAGAAGUUGUUAUGAGUGGACCUGACUACCUAGAGAGAGUAAUACAGAAGCUCCGUGCCGAUCACAGCUACCUCAUUACCAUGUUCCUCCAAGAUGGCCGCCCCUGAGGAGAAUCAUCAACUGGGCUUUACGGAAGAGAGAAAUCCAAACGACCAUCAGCAACAAAUGAAAGACUGAAGUUGAAAGUUUCAAGAUUGUCAAGAAUGACGAGUUGGACUUGGUCUAGUUACUUCCACAGCAGCAGGAGGAACAUGUGUGUGACUCAGGAUAACUGGGGAAGCCUUGGCUAGGCUUUCCUCAUGUCAACCUACCACUCAAAGGGAGAAAACCUCCUGAUCAGAGGUGCCCAGAACCCAGGAAAUCCAUAAUUUUUGAAUGCUGGCCGAGGUCUGUGACCUCUGACUGAAUGGUUUCCAAGCUCCGAAUUCCUAGGUGAUGUUUUCAUUUGUUCACACUUGCUGAAGAAGGGAAAGGCUCUCUGAUUUACGUGUAAGCAAAACAAUCUAAACAGUAGGAUAAAAUCAUGUUGGAAUGGAGUUCUGUGUGGAUGCUCCUUUGAACCAAAUCAGUUCCACAACUGACCCUGUCAGGGACAUAUAAAUUUAGCAUUUUGGUGUGGAUACAGAAGACGAGAUUAACACAGAUCAAGUAACAUGGAAAUAAAAAAGGAGACAAUGCUGGAUGAUACAGGGGCAGCCAACAAGAGGAGAAAACCCAAGCAUUGGCAAAUGCCUCAUUAUCCAAAGAACACUGAGGUGUGGAGCAAAACUGUGUUGAAUGAACUGUAGAUGGAAAUUCUCUCCUUCCCACCGAGGAGCCGCUGCAGGUUGCAGACUCCCAGAAUGCCACACUGAGAAGAGGAGGGCUAAAAUUCUAGAGCAGAAUCCCUGGGGCAGCCCCUGCUGAAGAAGGGUGCAUCUGUUGAGAAUCUCAUCACCGCCCCCACCCCGCCCAGCCUUCAAUUUAGAGGAAUUUCUAGUUCACGCAGAAUGAAGACAAGAUCACAUAAGUGAGGACGACGCCCCAUUUACAAGUGUGAUUUGGAAGACUGAAGUGGAAACCUUGGGAAGGGGCCUCAGAGUAUGUCAGCUGGGGUCAGACGGGAACAGGAGUCUGGCUCAACACACAUUUAUUGCACUCCUGUUUCAUGCCAAGAAAUGUACCAAAAUCUGGGACUGUGUAACACAGCAAAGGAAAAGACUCAUCUCCAGGAAGCCCCCUUGUCUAGGAAGAGAAAUUGAAUAUCAGCAUAAGGUGGUGAAAAGCUGUGAAGGAGAUGAGUGCCAGGAGUCCAUGGAGGAAGGAUUCUAGCCUGGACAGGUGAUUGUGGUGAAUAGUCAUGAGAAUCUGGGAACUGGCUCCUGCUCUGUCUAUCUUGGAGAUGCAUCUUUUGUGAGAAGCCAGGGCAAGAAUAGGGAGGCUUAGGCAAUGGGAAGUUUCUGAGUAGAUAAAGCAGAUGGCAGAGCAAAGGGACAGAGCCUGGCGAGAGGCUACUCCCUGUAGCAACCUGCCUAAGAGUGAGAGGAAAGCAAGGCAUGGCUAUGAGCACGUGUAGUCUCAGCUACUUGGGAAGCUGAGGCUGGGGGAUCACUUGAGCCCAGGAGUUCAAGACCAGCCUAGGCAACAUAGUGAGACCAUGUCUCUUUAAAAAAAAAAAAAAAAAGAAAAA